UACCAAUUAUCAAACAAGUGUGGUACGUGCGAUGAACACUGGUAAUAACGCGAAUGAUUUGGUUAACGAAAGUGAGGUUAUGUAUGUGUUGAAUUGAAAUUCAUAUUUGUUAACAGUGAGCUGGCCGGAGAUAUUUUGAACAAAUUACAACAACCGCAUAAGACUUCGCUUUGAGUGGAACAAAAUCAACCGGGGCAGGUACAGUAGGCCAAUCAGUGGACGAUGUGCCUAAUGGACCCAACUAGACUCCAACCCCCACUAUGCGAAUUUAAGAUUUAAAAAUUUGUCUAAAACAUCUCUCAGGGUACAUCAUGCCUUGAGUAGGCAAACUUAUUGAAGAUAUGCCCUGUGUGUUCAGCGAGAUCUCACAUAUGAUGACAGGAUGUAGUGAUUUCAUCAUAACUAAUCCCACAUCACUAUGUAACACUGCAACCCUGAGAGACAAGUAAAGACUGUUGCUGGGUUGUAAUUUACAGUUGUGUAAUAUUUCAUUUGGCUUGCUGACAGAUGUGAAGGACCUACAGCAGCACAUUAUUAGACUUGAUUCUGAGGAGAGUGGGCAUAGCACCUUGUUGAAAUAGUAUAUUACUGAUGUUUUGAGGUAACUAGCUCUCUCCUUACAUAUCACUGAAGACGAAAUAUUUGUGAUUUUCACCAUUUUAUUGUGGUGCUCUAUAUAGAUGAUUACAAGGACAUCCAUACAGCCUAUUGCCAUUGAUGGGCCCCCACAAUAAGCAAGGAGCGUCUAGAACUCACUUUACCACCACACAUUCCUGUUUCCUGCUGCACAGAAAUUCUUAAGGAAUUUUAUCUUUAAAGACUGUUGCGCAGAAGAUGAAGCUCAUGACUGGGACUAUGAAGAACUCUUGCAAGCAUCAUCAUGGGGAGUCCCAUACAAAGACAAAAUUGAGUUAGAUGGCGCCAGGAUGAAGUGCGCACACAUGCACACACACACACACAUGAGUGACUUGUGCUGAGUACAAAUCCCACAAAUCUGGGGGCAAUAAGUUGCUAUGAAACAAUGGCAUCCUUAAAUACAUUCCUGUAAUGCAAAAAAUAAAAACAUUACCAAUACA